GCCAAAACAAGCUCCUUGGUCUCUCGAUAGCGCCUCUAUCACUUGGCCUCCUCGAAAGCAAAACCCAAUUAUGCCCAGCUUCUUUGAGAUUCCCACAGCUAAAAAUUCAUCAGCCAUCCAUUUUGCUGCCGUGGCAAUAUCCAUUGCAACUCUCUGGGGUUCUUGUUUUGCUAACCAAUGUUCAAACAUUGCCAUUGGCCGGUCUUUUGCCCAUGGGUCUCCACGAAAUAAGUCAGGAACUAGAACAUUGUAGCCAUUGCAGGCAACACGAUAUGCAAAGUCUCUUGUAGAUGAAUCUUCAAACCCAAAAAUAUCAGACAAAAGCAGUAUGCCAGUUCCGUUAUUAUUUUNUAUUUUUCACCGCCUUGAAGAGAUAAGCAUGGAUUGAAUCAACACCCUCACCUAUUAACAGUUCCACUC
rnacentral:misc_RNA from 1 species